rnacentral:rRNA from 1 species
GACGUACGCUGGCGGCGUGCUUAACACAUGCAAGUCGAACGGAAGGGCCCUGCUUUUGUGGGGUGCUCGAGUGGCGAACGGGUGAGUAACACGUGAGUAACCUGCCCUUGACUUUGGGAUAACUUCAGGAAACUGGGGCUAAUACCGGAUAGGAGCUCCUGCUGCAUGGUGGGGGUUGGAAAGUUUCGGCGGUUGGGGAUGGACUCGCGGCUUAUCAGCUUGUUGGUGGGGUAGUGGCUUACCAAGGCUUUGACGGGUAGCCGGCCUGAGAGGGUGACCGGCCACAUUGGGACUGAGGUACGGCCCAGACUCCUACGGGAGGCAGCAGGGGGGAAUAUUGCACAAUGGGCGGAAGCCUGAUGCAGCAACGCCGCGUGCGGGAUGACGGCCUUCGGGUUGUAAACCGCUUUCGCCUGUGACGAAGCGUGAGUGACGGUAAUGGGUAAAGAAGCACCGGCUAACUACGUG